ensembl:snRNA U6 U6 spliceosomal RNA
AUGCUGGCUUUGGUAGCACAUACACCAAAAUUGGAAUGAAACAGAGAAGAUUAGCGUGGCCCCUGCACAAGGAUUACAUGAAAAAAAAAAAAAACCUACCAUAAUUGG